rnacentral:rRNA from 1 species
UACAGAGGUCUCAAGCGUUGUUCGGAUUCAUUGGGCGUAAAGGGUGCGUAGGCGGCGCGGUAAGUCGGGUGUGAAAUCUCGGAGCUUAACUCCGAAACUGCAUUCGAUACUGCCGUGCUUGAGGACUGGAGAGGGACGCGGAAUUCCAGGUGUAGCGGUGAAAUGCGUAGAUAUCUGGAGGAACACCGGUGGCGAAGGCGGCGUCCUGGACCAACACUGACACUGAGGAGCGAAAGCCAGGGGAGCAAACGGG